UAGCGUAGGGGGCUAGCGUUGUCCGGAAUCAUUGGGCGUAAAGAGCGUGUAGGCGGCUCGAUAAGUCCGCUGUGAAAGUCCAGGGCUCAACCCUGGGGAUGCCGGUGGAUACUGUCGGGCUCGAGUCCGGAAGAGGCGGAGUGGAAUUCCUGGUGUAGCGGUGAAAUGCGCAGAUAUCAGGAGGAACACCAUGGCGAAGCAGCUCGCUGGGACGUGACUGACGCUGAGAACGCGGAAAGCGUGGGGGAGCAAACAGG
rnacentral:rRNA from 1 species